AUUGAACGCUGGCGGCAGGCCUAACACAUGCAAGUCGAACGAGUGGCGGACGGGUGAGUAAUGUCCGGGAAACUGCCCGCUUGAGGGGGAUAACUACUGGAAACGGUAGCUAAUACCGCAUACCAUCGGAUGUGCCCCGAUGGGAUUAGCUUGUAGGUGAGGUAACGGCCCACCUAGGCGACGAUCCCUAGCUGGUCUGAGCGGAUGAACAGCCACACGGGAACGGAGACACGGUCCAGACACCUACGGAAGGCAGCAGUGGGGAAUAUUGCACAGUGGGGGAAAGCCGGAUGCAGCCAUGCCGCGUGUAUGAAGAAGGCCGUCGGGUUGUAAAGUACUUUCAGCGGGGAGGCGUUACCCGCAGAAGAAGCACCGGCUAACUCCGGGCCAGCAGCCGCGGUAAUUC
rnacentral:rRNA from 1 species